rnacentral:rRNA from 1 species
CCUACGGGGGGCUGCAGUGGGGAAUAUUGGACAAUGGGGGCAACCCUGAUCCAGCCAUGCCGCGUGUGUGAAGAAGGCCCUCGGGUUGUAAAGCACUUUCAGUGAGGAAGAACGCCUGGUGGUUAAUACCCAUCAGGAAAGACAUCACUCACAGAAGAAGCACCGGCUAACUCCGUGCCAGCAGCCGCGGUAAUACGGAGGGUGCGAGCGUUAAUCGGAAUUACUGGGCGUAAAGCGCGCGUAGGUGGCUUGAUAAGCCGGUUGUGAAAGCCCCGGGCUCAACCUGGGAACGGCAUCCGGAACUGUCUAGCUAGAGUGCAGGAGAGGAAGGUAGAAUUCCCGGUGUAGCGGUGAAAUGCGUAGAGAUCGGGAGGAAUACCAGUGGCGAAGGCGGCCUUCUGGACUGACACUGACACUGAGGUGCGAAAGCGUGGGUAGCAAACAGGAUUAGAUACCCUGGUAGUC